rnacentral:lncRNA from 1 species
UGAUAAACCUCGUCUCUACUAAAAAUACAAACAUUAGCUGGACAUGGUGCCACGUGCCUGUAAUCCCAGCUACUGGGAAGGGAAGGUUGAGGCAGGAGAAUCACUUGAACCCAGGAGGCAGAGGUUACAGUGAGCUGAGCAUCUGGGCAACAGAGUGAGAUUCCAUCUCCAAAAAAAAAAGGGGGUUUCAAGACAUGCCACUGUAGGUUAUGCAGGGAAGAGAUGAGAGAUUCAGGACCAUCAGGACAGACAACCAUAUUGCUCCAUUCCCCACCCCACAUACACCCUGACUCUCUUCAUCAGGGCCAGGGGCCACCUGGUCUUACAGUGGUUCCAUAUCCAUUGUUCAUGAUCCCAGCUUCCACUGAGGGUUCAUCCAGGUGGGCCCCAAGGGGCCUAGAUGUUAAUCCCUGUCAAUCACAUUUUCCACUGCAGGUUCAACUCCAUAUACAAAGAGAACAGCAAGAAAGUGUUUCAAAAGAGGCCAUUCACUAGUGGGCGGCAUUUUACAGUCUAUGUGGUAACGUGGACUGGUUGGGGGGUGCUUCCAUUUCACCCCCCUCAGGGCUCAUAGGUGUUAGGGGACCUGCUAAAGGUCACCCUGGAGUAACUGUCAGAGCCACAGUCUACAGGAUGGCCUCCUUACCCAGUGCUUUGGAUGUCUGCAGCUGUUUUGAAACUUCAUGCAAACCGGUGGGUGCUGCAGAAUUGGCCUCUUCCAGCCACAGCAGUAAUCCUGUUACGUUCUCUCUGUGAGUCUGGGAAACAUACAGACACUGGUUGAAACUUCAGCUUUGUCAUUUACCAGCUGUGCUAUCACAGGUAAGUUUUUUGUUUUCUUUUUGUUUUUUUGAGACAGGGUCUCAAUCUGUUACCCAUGCAGGACUGCAGUGACAUGAUCGCUGCUCUUACUGCAGCCCUGACCUCCCGGGCUCGAGUGAUCCUUCCACCUCAGCCUUCUAAGUAAUUGGGACUACAGGUGUGCGCCAGCAUGCCUGGCUAAUUUUUUUUUUUUGUAUGUUGCUUAGGCUGGUCUGAAACUCCUGGGCUCAAGCAGUUCUCCCACAUUGGCUUCCCAAAGUGCUGGGAUUACAGGUCUGAACCACCGAACCGGGCCACAGGCUCUUCCACAUACUAGCUGUGUGAACUUGGACAAGUGACUUAACUUCUCUUCUCCGUGUCUGCUAACAGUCCCUACACAGAUGGUUGUUGUGAGGCUUAGUUACCAUACAAAAUUCUUAGAUUAGUGCCUGGCACAUAAUAAUAACCACAGCCCCCAAAUGCUAGUUGUCAUUCAUUAUCUUAACAUACCAUGUGAAGGUUGUGUUCUCUUACAUUCUAUAGCCCUCUGUGUUUUAAUAUAAAAUUGUGAUGUCUCUCUUUCUUUUAUUUGUAUUUUUUGAGUAAAACGGACAUUUCAGAAAGAUGUACCAGAUUUUUAUCACAUGGCUUUGUGAGACCCGACAGCCAGCCAACAUCACACACAGUCACAUGUGUGCAUGCAUGAGCACACAUGCAUGCAGACACACACACUUUGAGAAGGCCAUGCUACGCCGGGCUGCUUCCCAAAUGGGCUGAAACAAGUCCUCUUGCCCUGAAGAACCGCCUGUCCCCUCUCCCGCCCACUCAUCGCGCUCCGUGGAGUGAGGCAGGAAAGGGUGAUUGGCUCACAGCAGCAGCAUAGCUCUUAGUAAACCUGACUUGGGAGAAAGGCCUGGCUCCAGCUCCUAGCCCAAGUGUCAGAGCCUGGGUCCCAGCACUGGCUCGAUGCCCUCUUUUGCUGUGCAACCCUGGCCAUGUAACUUCACCUCUCUGAGCCCCAGCUUUGUCAUUUGUGAAAGGGAGCUAACUGUUCCUACCUCUCAGGGUUAUGAGGAUUUGACAGACACAUGGAAAGUGCCUGGCACUUCGUUGUUGCUCCAUAAAUGAGAGCUCUCAAAAGUCUGGCUCAUUUUUUAGCUCAGUAAAAGCUAUCUUUCAUAGUCUUUAAUAAAAUGGGGCUGGCCGGGCGUGGUGGCUCACGCCUGUAAUCCCAGCACUUUGGGAGGCUGAGGUGGGUGGAUCACGAGGUCAGGAGAUCGAGACCAUCCUGGAUAACAUGGUGAAACCCCAUCUCUACUAAAAAAAAUACAAAAAAAUUAGCCGGGUGUGGUGGCAGGCGCCUGUAGUCCCAGCUACUCAGGAAGCUGAAGCAGGAGAAUGGCGUGAGCCCAGGAGGCG